rnacentral:rRNA from 1 species
AACGAACGCUGGCGGCAUGCCUAACACAUGCAAGUCGAACGAGACCUUCGGGUCUAGUGGCGCACGGGUGCGUAACGCGUGGGAACCUGCCCUUAGGUUCGGAAUCACUCCCCGAAAGGGGUGCUAAUACCGGAUAAUGUCUUCGGACCAAAGAUUUAUCGCCUUUGGAUGGGCCCGCGUUGGAUUAGCUAGUUGGUAGGGUAAAAGCCUACCAAGGCGACGAUCCAUAGCUGGUCUGAGAGGAUGAUCAGCCACACUGGGACGGAGACACGGCCCAGACUCCUACGGGAGGCAGCAGUGGGGAAUAUUGGACAAUGGGCGAAAGCCUGAUCCAGCAAUGCCGCGUGAGUGAUGAAGGCCUUAGGGUUGUAAAGCUCUUUUACUCGGGAUGAUAAUGACAGUACCGGGAGAAUAAGCUCCGGCUAACUCCGUG